rnacentral:rRNA from 1 species
CGCCUUCAUGAAGCUGGAAUUGCUAGUAAUGGCAGGUCAGCAUACUGCCGUGAAUACGUUCCCGGGCCUUGUACACACCGCCCGUCACACCAUGAGAGUUGGAAAUACCCGAAGCCUGUGAGCUAACAGUAAUGAGGCAGCAGUCGAAGGUAGAGCCAAUGAUUGGGGUGAAGUCGUAACAAGGUAGC